AUUGAACGCUGGCGGCAUGCUUUACACAUGCAAGUCGGACGGCAGCACAGAGAAGCUUGCUUCUUGGGUGGCGAGUGGCGAACGGGUGAGUAAUAUAUCGGAACGUACCGAGUAAUGGGGGAUAACUAAUCGAAAGAUUAGCUAAUACCGCAUAUUCUCUGAGGAGGAAAGCAGGGGACCUUCGGGCCUUGCGUUAUUCGAGCGGCCGAUAUCUGAUUAGCUAGUUGGUGGGGUAAAGGCCUACCAAGGCGACGAUCAGUAGCGGGUCUGAGAGGAUGAUCCGCCACACUGGGACUGAGACACGGCCCAGACUCCUACGGGAGGCAGCAGUGGGGAAUUUUGGACAAUGGGCGCAAGCCUGAUCCAGCCAUGCCGCGUGUAUGAAGAAGGCCUUCGGGUUGUAAAGGACUUUUGUCAGGGAAGAAAAGGCUGUUGCUAAUAUCGACAGAUGAUGACGGUACCUGAAGAAUAAGCACCGGCUAACUACGUG
rnacentral:rRNA from 1 species